AAAGAAUAUUCCUGGAAAAGGCUCUGGUGUCCUUUUCCCCUGGCUUUCUAUUGCUUGAUCUAACUCUAGGAAGCUUCCUCCAUGCACAAAAGUGUAAAGACUUCUUAUAUGGCUUCCUGUGCAUGAAUUUGCACUUGAUAUCAGCAAGUGCUCAACUACAGCUCUGUGACUGAACAAAGAGAGCAGCCUCAAGGUUUUUGGCCGCAGAAAGGAGUGCCAUUCUCUGGCUACUUGGUGAAGGUCUCUUCACCACAUUCACCACAUUCCUGGGUUUCCAGGCAUGGAACUACCUGGAUGUCUCAUCCAUCUACCUGAGCCAGUCACUCAAUGACACAAAGCAAAUGAGGGAUGGUGAAGGAGAAGCUUCAUAAAUCACAAAAGUGAAUGGAAUUUAUUUUAGGGGAAGGGAAGAGUGAGAAAAAGCCCAGCAAUUUUAAUGCAAACCAAGACUGUGGGAGAUCAGUGUCAAUGAACAUCAUCCAGGAGGAGGAGGAGUGGAGGCUGCAGAAGGCCAACAGAGUGCUGGCAAGUCACGGCUGUGCCCAGAGAGGAAUGAGGCUCCUGAAUGGUGACUUCAGUUUCCUGGAGUAAUGCUGCACCAUUGCAGGCCUUCCAAGGAUGUCUGAGAUGGGAAAGAUCCAUCUACCAUUUGUUUACCUACACAUGGUGGCUCAGUGAGUGUGUUUGCAAAUUAUCCCAGCUCCCAAUAAGGGAUAAAUGGGAAUUAGGACCUAUGAAUCCAGACUCCUGCUGUUAUGAAAACUGGGGAAGGGUUGGCCCCGGCGGUCUUGAUGAGGAGAAGAAACAAUAUCUGGUUGAUGGGAAUGAUUUAGCUUCACCUCCAAGGAUUUACAUCCACUUCCUAACGCUUUCUAUUUAAAAUUUAAUGGUAAACAUACACAGAGGUCCCUGAGACAGCAGGAAACCAUGGCUCACAAAUCCAGAAAGACUGGAAUUUUCUGCUGUUUUACCGACAGCAUGAAAAUGUCUUCAUGAAACUUCCAAGCAACAUAGGCAUAGUUGUGUGAACAUUUGAAAAGAGCGGACGUACACAGUGAGACACCAAAGGACUGUUCCAACCUUCCCUCUGCAGAGGCACCACAUCAUAACACAGCUUCAUUAUCUAAGGUUGGUGUCACUCUGUGCUGCAUUCUUCACACGGGAGAGCCCAAAGGAUCUCAUCCCCUCACUCUCUGAGGCUGGCACGCUCUAUGAUUUGAUGGAGGCACCUGAAAUUGUCUCCUUCCUUUAGAGCACCCCUCAGAGCAGUUAACAUAACAACUUGUAGUCAACCUGCCUAUGAAUGCAGAGGUGGCUUGACAUCAUCCUUGGAAGAUGGCUUCCUGAUUUUGCUGUAUUCCCAUCCUUUUGUGGGCUGUCAAGAAACGGAAAAGAAGGGAUGAAGGCUCUGUAAAGGGAGUUAGAGAACUUGUUGGCUGUGGGGAACACUGCUGCUAGUUUGUGUGUUACUCUCUGGUGUUCUGCUGGCAGUACAAAUGAAUGUCUUUCUUUGCCUUUGUUUCCACUCUACACUCCUGUUCCUGAUGUUCAGUGUGAGUUCCAGCCUGACGCUGCCUUUUGAAUGUUCAGUGUCUGUUCUUUAGGUCUAGAGGCAAAGCCAGGCAGCCAAAUUCAAAGAUUCUGGGUUUUCUUUUAGUUCUUUUGUCAGUGGGAAGCUGAGAAUGCACCUUGGUAUAUUCUCUGUUCUUCACUAAAAAUAUCAGCUGGAUUUUUUAUUUCUCUUGUAAUUUAGUCUUAGGGCUGAACUGAUGUGCCAUUUUCUUCCAUAUAUAACCAAUGGAUCCAAUUAUACUUCUUCCCUUUUAUCCCUCUGCUUGCUAACACUUGCAUAAUCAUUCUUUCAAUGAGGUGGGAGUCCUGAUUUCAGAGUAUUUGAAGUUCUGAUUUUUGAUCUUGUGGUGGAGUUUAUUAAUAAUUUAAAAUGGAAAAAAAAAAUCACUUUUUGAAAUAGCUCCACUUAAUGUAAAUACUAAAUUUUGGAGCCUGUUCUGCCAAUAUUUCCUUUGAUACACAUGCCCACUCUUCACAUAAAAUUUGCCAGGCUUUUAUGUGACAGUAAGGUGAAGUUGGCUGCCUGCUAAAAGUAAAUAUAUCUGACUAAUACACACUCAUUUUAUCUGUGCAGUUAUUUAUAGGAUCCUCCCAUUCAUCUUUAAAAAAUCUUCCUGUGUCUGUACUAUAUUGUCUCAUUUUACAAAUGAUUCAUCCGUUGUGGUGGUGGAGAAGAGACAUAGGGGAUUCCCUAGGAAAAUGCUGCAUUAGCCAUAGCUUUAGUUUAUUUUUCUCCUGUGGAAAUACUAUAUAAUAUUGUGCAUGGAUCAGCUUUUUGGAGACCAGCCCAAACUCAUUUGGGUACUUGAAUGAAGCUCCCCUUGAUUUGGGAUCUGUGGUGGGGAACUAUUACUUUAAGAGGUGUUAAUUAAACUUAAAGGGGAUUAUAGUGUCGUAAUUAUGUUCAUGUAGUCACUACUAGUUUGGAAGGAAGCUGUUGGGAAGGCAGUGAUGAACCUCAGCUGGAGAAGUACAGAUGGCUUAGGCCAAGUAACUCUGUAACUGGGAAGGAAAAGAGAUGUUCCAAGAGCAACCUUGAUGCUAGUAUUUUUGCCUAAGUCAGCCCAUGAAAAGUUUGGAAAGGCUCCUUUUUAUACUUGACCAGGCUUAGGACAUGCUCCCAGGGCCCAAGGAAACUCAUGGAUGUGGUGCUUUGAACAUGAACCCAGCCACGCUCUGGUGUUGGCAGGUUUUCUACUUUAAGGUGAAAUCCCUUAAAAAAGGCUCAGUCAGCCCAUAACAAAAAUCAGAGCUGCAACCUCUUGGUUCAGGGAAGUCCAGCUUAAUUGUGGUCAUAACCUUGUGCUGCCUGAGCCACUUAGAAAUGAAUGACAUGCUGAAGAAAAGGAGAACUCAGGGAUUUAUUUAUUUAUUGCCUUCAUUUCUUCAGUGGUUGGAUGUAAAGAUGCAUCAUACGAUUGCAAGCCCAAGAAAGGCGCUCCCUGGGAUGUUUUUGAAAGUUUCCAGAAAUAGAGUCUGACAAGCUUGGAUUGAAAAGUGUAAAAUUCCAAGCACAGGAGCUCACAAGUUUUGCUAGAGGCAGAGGAGUCUCAUGUUUAUAGCUGCUCUAGGCCUGAUCCAACUCUUGCUGGUGUCAAGGGAAAGGCCUUUGCUGGAGUUCUUCAUCAGCAAAGUUCUCAGCCCUAAGAAGAAACAGAUUUAUGGAGAAAGCUGUAAAUGGGCACUUGACACCUUUACCCUGUUUAGCAGAAGGAGCUGCAGAAAAUUAAUCUGCAGCAGUUUUGCUGCUGAAGGCAUUUGAACCAUGAGAAGCAACAGUGCUGGUAAUGAGUGUUCAGCUGCUGUCAUUACAUUUCCAGGAUUUUCAGAGAGUAACCAGUGACUGCUUAAGUGGUGGACUUGGGAAAUAGUGUCUAGCUUGGUUUGUUAGAAAAAGCAUCAGGCAUUUCUUCUUUUUUCAGAAGGCAGGGUAAAAUAUGACAGCAGCAACACUGGGGCACUUGGGACAGGCCAGAUAUACAUAUUUGGUUGAGCAAGAAAAACAACCAUCUGUCUAGAGAAGGAUGUAAACAUUAAGUGUUAACUGUCUCUCUCAGCCUCCACUGUGGCAGAAAGGCAGCCUUGUCUCUUGAGUUAUUCUGCUACAAGCUACUGUAAUGCAGACUGUGUUGAAAAGGAGCAAUUUAGGGCAGAAUUUUUCUUUUACUGUAUUUUUCCAAAGGAUGACUUUUUC